rnacentral:rRNA from 1 species
UACGUAGGUGGCAAGCGUUGUCCGGAAUUAUUGGGCGUAAAGCGCGCGCAGGCGGCUUCUUAAGUCUAAUGUGAAAGCCUUCGGCUCAACCGAAGAAGUGCAUUGGAAACUGGGAGACUUGAGUGCAGAAGAGGAAAGUGGAAUUCCAUGUGUAGCGGUGAAAUGCGCAGAGAUAUGGAGGAACACCAGUGGCGAAGGCGACUUUCUGGUCUGUAACUGACGCUGAUGUGCGAAAGCGUGGGGAUCAAACAGG